rnacentral:rRNA from 1 species
UACGUAGGGUGCGAGCGUUGUCCGGAAUUACUGGGCGUAAAGAGCUCGUAGGUGGUUUGUCGCGUUGUCCGUGAAAACUCACAACUCAAUUGUGGGCGUGCGGGCGAUACGGGCAGACUGGAGUACUGCAGGGGAGACUGGAAUUCCUGGUGUAGCGGUGGAAUGCGCAGAUAUCAGGAGGAACACCGGUGGCGAAGGCGGGUCUCUGGGCAGUAACUGACGCUGAGGAGCGAAAGCGUGGGGGAGCGAACA